GGCACGGGGCAGGACACGCACUGCCAACACGGGAGCUGCUGCCUGUUACAUAAGACCUGUCAAGCUCAGGCCCCUUCUCCCUUCCCCAAGGGGACGGUGCCCAGCCUCAGUCCCAGCAUUACUCAGGGCAGCUGCUUCCAUUGAGGGAUCCCCUGCCUACUUCCCACACCUGGAGGGCCUGCAAGAGAAAGGAAGUUGCCCCCUUUUACCUGUCUGCAACUCCUCUGCCCUUCACGGGGUCAAAGGACCCCGUCACCAACCCCUGGGCGAGAGCCCUUUGGGAACAGAGUGGGAGGCGGCCCCUUCGACCAGCCUUCCUUGCUGGAGUCUGGCCUGGGAGGAGUCACCCGGCAGAGUCCAGCGUGCUGCCGGUUCCCUCACACACCAGCCCUAGUCAAGGUUACGCUUUCCUGCACCUGUCCUGAUAGGUGCCCGGAAUUAAGAGACCGAGAGCCACCUGGUGCCCAGGUCACCGACAGGGAGGGAUCUCCGACAGGUGGCACAUACCUGCCUCUUCUCGGAGGAUGGACGACGAGUCGAACCGGGCACAAGCAUGGAGCUGCGGGUGAGUCCUGGCUGGCACUGGCGCGGCGCAGCGAGCAGCAGCUGACGCAGAGGGCUCCCUGGCCUCGGCUCCUGCCCGCCUCUCCCCCACCUCCGCCCGGGGCCCAGAAAGGACCUCCCCGGGAAAUCGGCGCCACCCAGCGGGCAGCCGCCUCAUCGCGCCAGGGCCGGCAAAGCCACACCCCGCGUCCCCCGUCACUGACCAACGUCAAGGCUAUUGGCUUGUUCCUAUUGUGACAUCACUAGAGCCCCGCCUGGCUAGGGUCUCCCAGGCAACCAAUAUCUACAGAGAACCACGUGGAGGAAAAGCACGCCAGUUUGGAGGGCGUGGAGCACGGAAAGAAGUGGACUGGAAUGUGACACGAUGUGGCAGGUGGAAGAGACAGGGUCUUGCUAAGUUGCUGAUGCUGACUUUGAACUUGCAACCCUCCUGCUCAGCCUCCCGACAUUGGGAUUACAGCACAAGAGGAAGAAGAUCCUGUUACUAGAAUGGCCACCUUGUGUCCACUGAGACACCUUGUGUCUAUUGCCUGAUUCCUGCUCAUGUGGCUUCUGUAGGUCUCGUGUCACUAUGUCACUCCUGGACACAUGGACAUCAUCCUGCUGCUACUUUUUCCUGGAGUGGAAUGAGAAGCCUUUCCCUGUCUCCACAACCUCAGCAGCAACACACAGCCAUGCUCUAGUACUGCCUGUCUUAGAAACAAAUGAAGAUGGGUGCAGAGGUGCACUCCUAUAAUCCCAACCACUCAGGAGGCUGAGACAGAAGGAUCACAAGUUAGAGGCCAACCUGGACAACUUAGUGAGGCCCUGUCUCAAAAUUUAAAAGAAAAGAAAAAAAAAAAAAAAACAAAGCAAAUGCUCCUGGACUCUACCUCCCACAUCAGCCACAGCCACACUUCCUGAAUAAAAGUCUACAUUAGCCAUUCAGUCUCAUGCACCCACUCCAAUCUGGCUUCUGUUACCACCACUCCGUUGAACUGUUCUGCCAGUUAUCAUCCCUGCAUAAAUUUAGUGUCUUUAAAAAACAAUUUAUUGUUGUGUCUUAUUCUUCUGUGGUUGGCUGGGCUCAGCUGGGAAAUUCUCACUUGGGUCUCUUCUUGUGAGAUUGCAAUCAGUGACUGGAACUGGAGUCAUCUGAAGGCUCAGCCUUGCUGGAAGUCCAAGACAGUUCACACAUGGCUGGCAGUUGACCCUGGCUGUUGGCUGGGAGCUUAGCCAGUGCUGGUGACUGGAGGGCCUCCAUGCGUACUCUGCAUAACUUGCACGUCUCAGAAUGGCAGCUGGGUUCUAAGAGGGAGUGUCUCAGGGCUUUCUGGGGGAACCCGCUGGAAGCAAGUCUUCUCAAGAGUGAGUGUUGGCAUCUGGUGCGGCCCUUCUUGCAGCAUCAUGACACGACAGAGGCCCAUACAUGGUGAGAGAGCAUGCCAUCCUGGGGUCCCACCCUCAUGACCCCAUCUCAUCCUAAUCAUCUAGUCAUGCAGCUUCACUUCCCCACAAACUCUUGGGCAUAAGCAAGACACAGUCCACAUGAGACUCAGUGGGAAGGGAUUACACAAGAGUGCAGUUGAUUUAGGGGGCCAUCUUUCACAGAUUGCUACUACAGUCACCAAAAAGUUGGUCCUCAUCUUCCUGAGUUCUUAACAGUAGUUGACUUGGUUGAACAUUUUUUCCCCCAAAAUCUCUCCCUUCUCCGGCUCCGUAGGCCCCUGGCUUUUCUCUUUCCUCACUGAUGCUCUUCCAUCUCCUUUCCUUCUCUUGCUGAAACCUAAAACUUCGACAACUUCAAAUUCUAGGCCUAGAAUUCUAGAAUCAUUUGCAGAAUUAUUUUUCUGAAGUGUUUCCCUGCACCCUCUUCUUUGUCCUGUAGUCAAUGCUGACUGUACAAAUGCUCUCUUCUGCUAGAUAUUACCUUUAACUUUGACCUCUAAUCUGUGCUCAGGACUGGGAUAUAGUCUGUCUUCUUUUUUGGGGAGUAGAAGUCAUUUUUUUUAAUACUAUUUAGUAUUAAAUAAAUAAUUUAUAUGGCCACAUAUAAAUUAUUAACCAUACAUAGUAAUUGGCAAACAAGUAUAUCUUGUGUGUAUAUGUUCUUUUUUUUCAUUUCCAGUAUCUUUCAUUUCCUGCCCUCUUUCCUCCCCCAUCUACUUGCUCUACUCCACCAUCACUCUUCUGUUAUUAUUUUUCAAAUUAAUGUAUCCAGCUGUCUUCUUGUUUGGGGGCAUGGGUACUGGGAUUGAAUCCAAGGGUGUGCUACCACUGAGUUAUAUCCAUGACCGGUUUUUAAAAGACAGGGUCUUGCUAAGUUGUUGAGGCUGGCCUUGAACUUGCAAUCCUCUGCCUCAGUCUCCUGAGUAGCUGAAAUUACAGGUGUGAGCCAUGCACCAUUAGAGCCAUGUCCUCUAGGUUGCUUUUGGUUUUUUUUUGUUUUUCUUUUUGCAGUGCUAGGGAUUAAACCCAGGAUCUUGCACAUACUGAGCAAGUGCUCUACAGUGGAGCUGCAUCCCAGCCCCACUGUCUUCUUGAUAGCUCCGUGUAGGUGUCUAGUGGCGAUUCAGACUUAAUACAUCCAGCUCUCCACUUCCACACCCUCCAGCCUGUUCUCUCUCAACAGAUGCAUCAUUACUCUCUCACAUUUAAGCAAACACACAGGGGAUACCAGAUUCCGUUUAGAUCCUAGAUUCUGUCUCACUACUCUUAACCCCCUCUCCCCAACUUCCAAUAAGCAAGUCCUGGUUUUUUUUUUUUUUGUGUGUGUGUGUGUGUGUGGGUAUGGGGGGGAGAACUUUAAUAUAUUUCUCCAAAUAUAUUUGAUUUUGAUUGUUUAGAAAAUUAAUACAUUUAGCUAGACUUGGUGGCACAUGCCUAUAACCCUAGCAAUUUGGGUCACUGAGGCAGGAUCACAAGUUUAAAGUCAGCCCUAGCAGCUUAGGGAGGCCCUAGGCAACUUAUCAAGACCCUGUAUCAAAAGUAAAAAAUAUAAAAGGGCUGGGGUUAAGCACCCCUGAUCUGGUACCAAAUAAAUAAAUAAAUAAAAAGUAAAAAAAAAAAAAAAAAAAGAAUAUAAAAGUGAUCUGUGACCUUAUCUUACAUUCUCAUUCAUCAAAACAUACUCCCAGUUAAUUAGCUAUUUCUUUUGCUAUUUAUUUCUCUACUUAAAAUUUUCAUAGGUAUGUUUUUUCUUAAUUGUCUAGUGUUAAGUAUUAUAUAUUGACUUUCAACUAUGGAAAAUGUGGGGUUUAAUGGUGUUUAACACUUUAAUAUGCCCAUUUCUUCCACAACCAAAUAUAUUCACUUAUCAUUUUCCAUUGCUUCCCAAAUAGUUUUAUCACAAUUUUUAGUAAAGUCAUUACCUAAUGCUGUGUUAGUCCAUUUAGGCUGCUAUUACAAAGUACCAUGAACAGGGUAGUUUAUCAACAACAGAAGUUUGUUUCUCAUGGUCUGGGAAGUCGAAGAUUGAGGGCCCACAUUUGGUGAGGGCCUUCUCUUUUUUUUUAAUUUAUUUUUUAGUUUUUGGUGGACACUCCAGCCCAGUGAGAGCCUUCUUGUGCUGUAUCAUGACAUGGCAGAAGGCAUCACAUGGUGAGGGAGAGAGGGAGGUAUGCCUGUUGAGAGCAAGAGAGCAAAAGAACCCUCCCAUCCCUUCUACAAUUGGCAUGAAUCCACACAAGAGGAUGGAGCCCUCAGGACCUGAACACCUCGCAUUAGGCCCCACCCCCAAUACUGUUGCAUUGGGGAUUAAGUUUCCAACACAUGCUUUUUCGGGGUACAUUCAAACACUGAAACUUCUCAAGAGUACCCUCUUCAAAUCCUGUCACCUUGGGGGUUAAGGAUUUUAACCUAGAAAUUUUGGAGGGAUACAAACAUUCAGGCUCUAGCAAGCAUUUAUAUUAAUACAAUUAUAUAAAUAUUAUUUGCAGAUAAACCAUGUAAUGGGCUAUGGUUAUCAUUUUUCCCUAUGGAGUGAAUAUUUGCCAUUGUGGGGGGAUUUUGUUAAGAAUUAUAUUUUAAAAAUUUUAAAAUAAUUACAGAUUUAUAAGGAAUUACAAAAAUAGUGCAGGAGGUCCUGUUUGUACCCUUGAACAGUUUCAAGACCUCCUGUAUUCCUUACCCAUUUCUCUAGUGGUAACAUCUUGAUCAGCUGCCGUGCACUAGCUAAGGUGGGAACUGAUGCUGGUAUAAUACUUGGACCUUACUCAGAUUUCACCAGUCCUCUGUUUUAGCUCUGUGUCUCUCAAAGCUACCACUUCCCUUUGUUUUUACCACUACAACAUUGUUCUGAGCUGCCACAUCUCUGUUAGGACUACUGCAACAUCCUCCUGACUUCUUGCUAUUCUCCAGUCUGUUUCCACAUAGCAGCAAGAAGCAGCUUCUAAUCACAAGAGUAGAUCAAGUCCUUUAACACUUUCCUGUUGCUCUUAGAAUACAAUUCUAACUCUUCAUUAUGACCUCCAAGACCCUGUGGGAUCUGGCUAUUUUACCUCCUUAUUUUAUUCUUUCUUUCUCUACCUUAUUUAUUUCCUUCCUUCCUUCUUUCCUUCCUUCCUUCCUUCCUUCUCUCUCUCUCUCUUUCUCUUUCUCUCUCUUUCUUUCUUUCCUUUUUUGCAGUACUGAGGAUUGAAACCAGAACUCUGCAGAUGCAAGGCAAACAUUCUACCACAGAGCUACAUCCCCAGCCCAUUCAUUUAUUUAUUUAAAGAAUUUUUUAGUUGUAGAUGGACACAAUAGCUUUAUUUUAUUUAUUCAUUUUUUAUGUGGUGCUGAGGAUUGAACCCAGCGCCUCACAUGUACAAGGCAAGCGCUCUGCCACUGAGCCACAACCCCAGUCCCAUUUAUAUAUUUUUGAGACAGGAUCUUGCUGUGUUGCCCAGGCUGACCUUGCACUUGUGAUCCUCACGUCCCAGCCUUCUGAGUGGCUGGGACACAGGUAUGUGCUUCUGUACCCAGCAGUGUCUCCCUCUUUAAUGACAUCUCAGACCCCUCCUUGUCUUCAGGCCUUGAGUGACCCUGACUGUUCCCUCCACCUUGUGCCUCCAGCAGUCCUCAGUGGCUGGCUUUUUGUUCUU